CUAAAAACAGAAAAUACUAAAAACAGAAAAUACCAAAAACAGAAAAUACUAAAAACAGACGUUUUGGCGCCCUCUCUCACUCGGCGCCCCCAUGUGGCACAUCUGCCCCAUGUGGUUACAGUUCCCCUCAUCAUCAUCAUCAUCAUCAUCAUCAUCAUCAUCAUCAUCUGAACAGGUUCACUAAUCGGAACCAGGCUCCUCAGUUGAAGGCUCCACAGAACCAGCGGUCCAAAGUUCGGUUCUGACCAGGUUGAAGUGAGCGGAAGUCCGUAUAAGGUCAGGACAGACAGAGAGCCAUCUGUCAGACUUUACGGGACAGCUCUGACCCCUCCGCCGCUCCGGGAGGUAAUUGGACCCUCUGUUGCCAUGGUGACGGCGGAGAGGAGGUGUCACCCGACCUGGUCCCGUUGAAGUUCUGAUGGACUGCCGGUUCUGUCGGGAUAGUCCUGGCUGCUGUUGGUCUCUGCGGUUCAGUUCGGGUUGAUGGAGUCCCCUCCGCCCUGAUCUGGUCUCCUCUUCCUCCUCCUCUUCCUUCUCUUCCUCCUCUUCCUCCUCCACCAUCAUGCCGAACCGACAGAAGCAGGUUCUGUUUUGCUCCGCCGGCCUCCUGAGCCUCUGCUGCGCCCUGUCGGCUGCCGUCGUCACCGGGCUGCCCUACUGGCUCCGCGGGGUCGUACUCUGUCGAACCGGAGCCGAGCUCGUCAACGCCACCGGAGCCGAACUGGACCAGUUUCUGGGGGAGCUGAGCUACGGGCUGUUCCACGGGGAGAGGGUGAAGCAGUGCGGCCUGGGGGGCAGACCGUCCCGGUUCUCAUUCUUCCCAGACCUGCUGGCUGGAAUCCCGGCCGGCCUCCACGUCUCCAUCGUCUUCUUCUGCAGCGUCGUGGUCCUCUUCUCCUCCGUGGCCUCCGGCUUCUUCUUCUUCAACGCCUUCGGGCGGCCCUACGAGACGCUGCAAGGCCCCAUGGGACUUUAUCUGUGGACCUGCGUCUGCUGUGAGGCCCUCACUGUUUCACCAGCCAGUAGAAGAAGAACAGCAGCUUUGGUCCUCCAAGCAGCUGGAAGGUUUAAUUCCACUGAAAUAAUUAAAUCAACAAUAGUUAUAACAGUGAUUAAUUUUUUCAAACAUUUAUUUGUAUCAGAUAAUUUUCCCGAGGAAAUAUAAAUUAUACAGCGUUGAAUUAGGAUUUUAUUAUUAAGGGACAAACGAGGCUUUCCAAACCGACUGGAUCGAAUAGGGAAAAGAAACAAAUACUAAAUAGAAGAAUAAAGAAAAUUAAUACCAAAAUAUUUAAAAAUUAAAAAUGAAUAGCAUUUAUAUUGAGACUUCUUAUUUAAUUAUUAAUUUAAUUCAUAACUAUUGGAGGCUUGCUGCAAAAUAUGUGCAUUUUAAAUGUACAAUUUAAUGUCAAUAAAUCUGCCUGUUUAAUAACACUAUAAUAAUAUUAAUAUUAUUAUUAUUAUUAUAAACAAUAAUAAUAAUAAUAAUAAUAAUAAUAAUAAUAAUUGGCCAGCCUUGUUAAAUCAUAAAUCACGUGUGAUUAAUCAGAUGUUUUUGGAAAGCGUAGAUCAAAUUUACUAAUGCAAAUUUACAUGUAGAACCAAUAAAUCCCUUGAAUUGAUCGUCUGUCGUCCAUUUACUGUAAAAUUAUUCCCUAAACUUAAUAACUGGUUCAACCAUCGGUUGUUUGUAAAGACUAGCGAUGAGUCUUUAUUUUUAAAUCAUUGAGGAAUUUUGUUUUAUUUUAGCUGCAUUGGAGACUUUCCUGGACUGAACCCCCUGCUUAAUGCUACACCAACGUCUGGACUUUGACUGGGCCACUUCUGACAGUCCACUUUGCUUUGUUUUUUUCUUUUGAGGGAUUCAGAGGUGAUCUGUGCUUUGGAUGUUUGUCCUGCUGUAACGAUCCUCACUCCAGUUCAAUGAAGUCUCAAAACCUUAGAAAUGAUUUCUGACAGAAGGAGUUAAUCAUCUAUUUGUCAUCUGGUUCUGAAUUUCUUUAGUUUGGGCCUGUUGUCCUUUUUUACUUAAUCAAUGAACUGACAGUGGAAGCAGCUGUAAGGAGGUGAACACCGGAGGAGCAAACAGAACCAAACCGCCUCCACCAGAUGCGAACGCGUCUCUAAUCAAGCCUUCAGAGAUGAAUUAUGGAUCAGUCGGUCUGAGGACGAUAACAGCAGCAAUUACAGAACCGGAGCUGCAAGCAGGAGACGGAUCAGAACAAAGGAGGCAGGAAACAGGGCUGGGGGCGGGGCUUAGAGGGGAGCACUGUCCUCUGAUUGGUCCAGUUGUUUCUACAGUUCUGACUAACUGCUCGGACUUGAUUCAGAUUUCUACCCGAAACCAUCAGAUAUUAAAUCCUGGUGUUGAUGAGGUUCUACAUCGGUUGGACGCCGCUAACUAAAGCAUUAAACCAACAUGGAGUUUAGCUAAAGCUAACGCUAAAGUGCUAAAUUCAGCCAGGUGGAUACCGACCAGGCGCCAACGACUCAACAUGAGCUACAACUACCUCCAUGUAGGCGUCGCUACGGCCACAGCGGACGUAGGAAGUGAGGGUCAGGAGUAUUGAACGGAGCGACUGCGAGUGUUUUUCCCAGUUAUUUUUCCCAGUUUAGCCAUGGAUUCUACUGGUUCAGUUUAAGUUAGCUUGUUUUUGGACGUAGUUGCUAUCGGUCGCCAUCUUCUUUUCUCGUCAAAAAAUUUACAAUAAAAUGCCAAGUUUUUUUGCAUCCUUGUUUGUUUACGCAGCUGAUGACCAUUUUUACAUUAAAUCAACUAAAUAAAAGCAAAACUAGCCAAUGAACCGUCUGUUUUUGACUGGCUUUGCAGGAAUUAAUGCUGUUUCGACGUCCAUCAUGGUGAAGAGCGUCACCUGACAAGCAACGGGUCGAUAUCAGCGUCAACAUUUUGUUGCCGUUUGUUUCUGGAAGAGGUUGGGCGUGAGGUUUUUGUGUGGUUAGGUGAUGGUGAUCAGAGUUCAACUGAAGAAGAGAAGCAACGUGCGACCAGCUGCCUGGUUCUGAUCCUGUUUGCCUCCGAGGUGAAGAUCCACCACCUCUCUGAG